rnacentral:tRNA from 1 species
UCGUAGCUCAGUUGGUAGAGCAACUGAUUAGUAAUCAGUAGGUCAACGGUUCAAGUCCGCUC